rnacentral:rRNA from 1 species
GACGAACGCUGGCGGCGUGCUUAACACAUGCAAGUCGAACGGAAAGGCCCUGCUUUUGUGGGGUGCUCGAGUGGCGAACGGGUGAGUAACACGUGAGUAACCUGCCCUUGACUUUGGGAUAACUUCAGGAAACUGGGGCUACUACCGUAUAGGAUCUCCUGUUGCAUGGUGGGGGUUGGAAAGUCUCGGCGGUUGGGGAUGGACUCGCGGCUUAUCAGCUUGCUGGUGGGGUAGUGGCUUACCAAGGCUUUGACGGGUAGCCGGCCUGAGAGGGUGACCGGCCACAUUGGGACUGAGAUACGGCCCAGACUCCUACGGGAGGCAGCAGUGGGGAAUAUUGCACAAUGGGCGGACGCCUGAUGCAGCAACGCCGCGUUCGGGAUGACGGCCUUCGGGUUGUAAACCGCUUUCGCCUGUGACGAAGCGUGAGUGACGGUAAUGGGUAAAGAAGCACCGGCUAACUACGUG